rnacentral:rRNA from 1 species
UACGUAGGGUGCAAGCGUUGUCCGGAAUUAUUGGGCGUAAAGAGCUCGUAGGCGGUUUGUCGCGUCGAAUGUGAAAACCCGGGGCUCAACCCCGGGCCUGCAUUCGAUACGGGCAGACUAGAGUUCGGUAGGGGAGUCUGGAAUUCCUGGUGUAGCGGUGAAAUGCGCAGAUAUCAGGAGGAACACCGGUGGCGAAGGCGGGACUCGUGGGCCGAUACUGACGCUGAGGAGCGAAAGCGUGGGGAGCAAACAGGAUUAGAUACCGUAGUAA